rnacentral:rRNA from 1 species
CUUUUUUGGAGAGUUUGAUCUUGGCUCAGGACGAACGCUGGCGGCGUGCCUAAUACAUGCAAGUCGAGCGCGGGAAGCAGCGGGUCGCCCUUCGGGGCGCACCCCUGUGGAACGAGCGGCGGACGGGUGAGUAACACGUGGGCAACCUGCCUGUAAGACUGGGAUAACUCGCGGAAACGCGAGCUAAUACCGGAUAAUGCUUGUGGUUGCAUGAUCACAAGCUGAAAGGCGGCCUCUGGCUGCCACUUACAGAUGGGCCCGCGGCGCAUUAGCUAGUUGGUAAGGUAAGAGCUUACCAAGGCGACGAUGCGUAGCCGACCUGAGAGGGUGAUCGGCCACACUGGGACUGAGACACGGCCCAGACUCCUACGGGAGGCAGCAGUAGGGAAUCAUCCGCAAUGGACGAAAGUCUGACGGUGCAACGCCGCGUGAGUGAUGAAGGUUUUCGGAUCGUAAAACUCUGUUGUCAGGGAAGAACACGUGCUGUUCGAACAGGACAGCAUCUUGACGGUACCUGACCAGAAAGCCCCGGCUAACUACGUGCCAGCAGCCGCGGUAAUACGUAGGGGGCAAGCGUUGUCCGGAAUUAUUGGGCGUAAAGCGCGCGCAGGCGGUC